rnacentral:rRNA from 1 species
CACCGCGGUUAUACGAUACGCCCAAGUUGACAGUCUUCGGCACAAAGUGUGGUUAAUUAACCAUUUAACUAAAGUCGAACCCCUUCAAUUUUGUCAAACGAUUCUGAAGAGAGGAAGCUCAACAACGAAAGUGACUUUAAAACUAAUGAACCCACGAAAGCUAUGAAA